GUCGCAAGACCAAAGAGGGGGACCUUCGGGCCUCUUGCCAUCGGAUGUGCCCAGAUGGGAUUAGCUUGUUGGUGGGGUAACGGCUCACCAAGGCGACGAUCCCUAGCUGGUCUGAGAGGAUGACCAGCCACACUGGAACUGAGACACGGUCCAGACUCCUACGGGAGGCAGCAGUGGGGAAUAUUGCACAAUGGGCGCAAGCCUGAUGCAGCCAUGCCGCGUGUAUGAAGAAGGCCUUCGGGUUGUAAAGUACUUUCAGCGGGGAGGAAGGGAGUAAAGUUAAUACCUUUGCUCAUUGACGUUACCCGCAGAAGAAGCACCGGCUAACUCCGUGCCAGCAGCCGCGGUAAUACGGAGGGUGCAAGCGUUAAUCGGAAUUACUGGGCGUAAAGCGCACGCAGGCGGUUUGUUAAGUCAGAUGUGAAAUCCCCGGGCUCAACCUGGGAACUGCAUCUGAUACUGGCAAGCUUGAGUCUCGUAGAGGGGGGUAGAAUUCCAGGUGUAGCGGUGAAAUGCGUAGAGAUCUGGAGGAAUACCGGUGGCGAAGGCGGCCCCCUGGACGAAGACUGACGCUCAGGUGCGAAAGCGUGGGGAGCAAACAGGAUUAGAUACCCUGGUAGUCCACGCCGUAAACGAUGUCGACUUGGAGGUUGUGCCCUUGAGGCGUGGCUUCCGGAGCUAACGCGUUAAGUCGACCGCCUGGGGAGUACGGCCGCAAGGUUAAAACUCAAAUGAAUUGACGGGGGCCCGCACAAGCGGUGGAGCAUGUGGUUUAAUUCGAUGCAACGCGAAGAACCUUACCUGGUCUUGACAUCCACGGAAGUUUUCAGAGAUGAGAAUGUGCCUUCGGGAACCGUGAGACAGGUGCUGCAUGGCUGUCGUCAGCUCGUGUUGUGAAAUGUUGGGUUAAGUCCCGCAACGAGCGCAACCCUUAUCCUUUGUUGCCAGCGGUCCGGCCGGGAACUCAAAGGAGACUGCCAGUGAUAAACUGGAGGAAGGUGGGGAUGACGUCAAGUCAUCAUGGCCCUUACGACCAGGGCUACACACGUGCUACAAUGGCGCAUACAAAGAGAAGCGACCUCGCGAGAGCAAGCGGACCUCAUAAAGUGCGUCGUAGUCCGGAUUGGAGUCUGCAACUCGACUCCAUGAAGUCGGAAUCGCUAGUAAUCGUGGAUCAGAAUGCCACGGUGAAUACGUUCCCGGGCCUUGUACACACCGCCCGUCACACCAUGGGAGUGGGUUGCAAAAGAAGUAGGUAGCUUAACCUUCGGGAGGGCGCUUACCACUUUGUGAUUCAUGACUGGGGUGAAGUCGUAACAAGGUAACCGUAGGGGAACCUGCGGUUGGAUCACCUCCUUACCUUAAAGAAGC
rnacentral:rRNA from 1 species